UGGGGAAUAUUGCACAAUGGGGGAAACCCUGGUGCAGCGACGCCGCGUGAGCGAAGAAGGUUUUCGAAUCGUAAAGCUCUGUCCUAUGAGAAGAUAAUGACGGUAUCAUAGGAGGAAGCCCCGGCUAAAUACGUGCCAGCAGCCGCGGUAAUACGUAUGGGGCGAGCGUUGUCCGGAAUUAUUGGGCGUAAAGGGUACGUAGGCGGUCUAUUAAGUCAGGUGUGAAAGCGUGAGGCUUAACCUCAUUAAGCACUUGAAACUGAUAGACUUGAGUGAAGGAGAGGAAAGUGGAAUUCCUAGUGUAGCGGUGAAAUGCGUAGAUAUUAGGAGGAAUACCGGUGGCGAAGGCGACUUUCUGGACUUUUACUGACGCUCAGGUACGAAAGCGUGGGGAGCAAACAGGA
rnacentral:rRNA from 1 species